CCUACGGGUGGCAGCAGUGGGGAAUAUUGGACAAUGGGCGAAAGCCUGAUCCAGCCAUGCCGCGUGUGUGAAGAAGGCCUUCGGGUUGUAAAGCACUUUCAGUGGGGAAGAAAGCCUUGGGGCUAAUACCCUCGAGGAAGGACAUCACCCACAGAAGAAGCACCGGCUAACUCCGUGCCAGCAGCCGCGGUAAUACGGAGGGUGCGAGCGUUAAUCGGAAUUACUGGGCGUAAAGCGCGCGUAGGCGGUCUGAUAAGCCGGUUGUGAAAGCCCCGGGCUCAACCUGGGAACGGCAUCCGGAACUGUCAGGCUAGAGUGCAGGAGAGGAAGGUAGAAUUCCCGGUGUAGCGGUGAAAUGCGUAGAGAUCGGGAGGAAUACCAGUGGCGAAGGCGGCCUACUGGACUGACACUGACGCUGAGGUGCGAAAGCGUGGGUAGCAAACAGGAUUAGAUACCCUAGUAGUC
rnacentral:rRNA from 1 species